rnacentral:ncRNA from 1 species
UAGACCGACGCCAAGGUGCCCGACGGACAGGCCGGACACGAGAAGACCAUCACCUCCCUCGCAGCCGCUCUCGCCGGUGUCAACAUGAUCUACGGC